rnacentral:rRNA from 1 species
GAGUUUGAUCCUGGCUCAGAACGAACGCUGGCGGCAGGCCUAACACAUGCAAGUCGAGCGAGACCUUCGGGUCUAGCGGCGGACGGGUUAGUAACGCGUGGGAACGUGCCCUUCUCUGCGGAAUAGCCACUGGAAACGGUGAGUAAUACCGCAUACGCCCUUCGGGGGAAAGAUUUAUCGGAGAAGGAUCGGCCCGCGUUAGAUUAGAUAGUUGGUGGGGUAAUGGCCUACCAAGUCUACGAUCUAUAGCUGGUUUUAGAGGAUGAUCAGCAACACUGGGACUGAGACACGGCCCAGACUCCUACGGGAGGCAGCAGUGGGGAAUCUUAGACAAUGGGCGCAAGCCUGAUCUAGCCAUGCAGCGUGUGUGAUGAAGGUCUUAGGAUCGUAAAGCACUUUCGCCAGGGAUGAUAAUGACAGUACCUGGUAAAGAAACCCCGGCUAACUCCGUGCCAGCAGCCGCGGUAAUACGGAGGGGGUUAGCGUUGUUCGGAAUUACUGGGCGUAAAGCGUACGUAGGCGGAUCAGAAAGUAAGGGGUGAAAUCCCAGGGCUCAACCCUGGAACUGCCUCUUAAACUCCUGGUCUUGAGUUCGAGAGAGGUGAGUGGAAUUCCAAGUGUAGAGGUGAAAUUCGUAGAUAUUUGGAGGAACACCAGUGGCGAAGGCGGCUCACUGGCUCGAUACUGACGCUGAGGUACGAAAGUGUGGGGAGCAAACAGGAUUAGAUACCCUGGUAGUCCACACCGUAAACGAUGAAU